UAAUUAUCAAGAGUGCUAUCUGUCAAGGGUUCUGGCCCAAUGAUAGCCAACAACCCAUCCGCCAUAACGUGGACAAGGUGCUAAAUCCAGCCCAUUAGGGGAAGAUAAGAU
rnacentral:ncRNA from 31 species